CUAAGUUUGAUGGCGACCGGCGCACGGGUGAGUAACACGUAUCCAACCUGCCGAUGACUCGGGGAUAGCCUUUCGAAAGAAAGAUUAAUACCCGAUGGCAUAGUUCUUCCGCAUGGUGGAACUAUUAAAGAAUUUCGGUCAUCGAUGGGGAUGCGUUCCAUUAGGUUGUUGGCGGGGUAACGGCCCACCAAGCUUCGAUGGAUAGGGGUUCUGAGAGGAAGGUCCCCCACAUUGGAACUGAGACACGGUCCAAACUCCUACGGGAGGCAGCAUG
rnacentral:rRNA from 1 species